GGACCUCUAUUGAAGGGUCAAAUCCAAAUACAAUGCCCAUUUCAUUUAGAUUUGUUAUGAAGACGAAGAGCAGCAAGCAUAACCAGCAAGAUAAAAGCUAUUGAACCAAGCAAAGAGAGGACAAUGGCAACUGCUACUUGAUCGCAGAAUUUCCCAAACACGUUGCACGCUUUGCCCCAUCUCAACCGUGAAUUCCCUUCGUAACCCAUAAGUCCAAUAGCUCCCGUUGCUCCGAUGCCAAAAAAAUCUGUGUGGAAAAAUGGCCAUUCUUCCCCUUCUCUUCCUCCUCCUUUCCCUUUUUAUUCAAUUCCAUUCUCUUCAUUCACUCCUAGUUCUGGUCCCAACAUCACUUUGUCCCGUUAACCAUCCUUAAAAACACCCCAAUCACCAUCACCAUGCCAUUUUCUCAAAUGGCAUGAAAGGUUGAUGAGGAUGAAGUUUAUUGGAGAUCAGAGAAGAGCAAUGAAGAGUUGGAAUGGUCUUACAAUUCCACUCAUGUAAUUUCACAGCUAACUCAAUGUUUUACUAAUGCUAUGGUCGGACCACGAGCAUGGCUAGCAGGGCUCUUCAAUCGCUCAGCUAAUAAACGCACUGAGAAAUCUCUUGACAAACCUUUGACUCCUUUUCAGGAACAGAGACUUAAAAAGCUUCAAGAGCGGUUGCAAACACCAUUUGAUGAGACUCGUCCUGAUCAUCAAGAAGCUCUUAGAUCGUUGUGGAAUGCAGCCUUUCCAGAUUUUGCUCUGGCAGGCUUGAUCUCUGAGCAAUGGAAAGAGAUGGGGUGGCAAGGUCCCAAUCCAUCAACUGACUUUAGGGGUUGUGGUUUUAUUGCUCUAGAAAACUUGCUGUUUUUUGCCAGGACUUAUCCGGUAUGCCUUCGUGACUCUUUCAAGUAUUUGUGCAACUAUUUCCUUAAUUAUUUAUUCCUUUAUUUGGAACCGAUUUUGUGAUUUUCUUUUUCUAGAUCCUCUAAUGCCUGAAUUUGCGCAGAAAGUGUGUUAUGAUUAUUACUGAUUGUAUGAAAAUACAAAAUGAAGGUAUCUUUUCGUAGGUUAUUGUUCAAGCAGGGUGGGAAGCGAGCAACUUGGGAAUAUCCAUUUGCUGUUGCUGGCAUUAAUGUUUCAUUUAUGUUGAUCCAGAUGUUGGAUUUACAGUCAGAAAAACCAAAAUGUCUUCCAGGAAAGAAUUUUGUUAGAUUACUGGGAGAAGAUGAAGCUGCUUUUGAUGUACUGUUCUGCGCAGCUUUUGAAUUGAUGGAUGCUCAGUGGCUUGCUAUGCAGGCUUCUUAUAUGGAGUUUAAUGAGGUGUUGAAAGUAACAAGGGAACAAUUGGAGAGGGAGUUGUCUUUAGAAGAUGUUCAUAGAAUAAAAGAUUUGCCAGCAUACAAUCUGUUGUAUCAAUAGCAUGUUGUUAUUAUUAUUAUCAUAAUCAUUAUUAUUUAUUAUUAGAACUAUCAACCACUACUGAACAUCAAGACAUAUUUGCUCCAACUGAGAUGAUAAUUUGCUGUAGAGAUCUAUUCUGGAGUUGCACAUGUAAUUACUGAUCUGUACAAGCCAUUUUUGGUGAUUUUAUAGCUGAGCUUUGUACACUGCAAUGGAGUUGACACAUACUAAUGUUGAAGGAAAC
rnacentral:misc_RNA from 1 species